GACAGAGGGUGCAAACGUUGUUCGGAAUUACUGGGCGUAAAGCGAGUGUAGGCGGUUUGGUAAGUCGGAUGUGAAAGCCCCGGGCUCAACCCGGGAAGUGCACUCGAUACUGCCAAGCUAGAGUAUCGGAGAGGUUGGUGGAAUUCUCGGUGUAGAGGUGAAAUUCGUAGAUAUCGAGAGGAACACCGGUGGCGAAGGCGGUUCUCUGGGCCUUACCUGACGCUGAGGAGCGAAAGCAUGGGGAGCAAACAGG
rnacentral:rRNA from 1 species